CGAAUCAAUGGGGUAACAGAUGUCGCAGCCAGAUCAUCUUCCCAUCCUAAACAUGGACUUUUGAAUCACACACAGUGACAUCGGUCAUUUCCCUUGCUAUACUUCAAGUGUGUGUCUGCUGAAGAGUGGACCAAAUUGGUGAUGUUUGUGUCGGUGGUUCCCCUUCACACAGAAUGGGCUUACAGGAAGAGGAUAACUGUUCUGGAGGCCCUGCCACAACCAGGACUGGGGGUGCUAGAUGGCAGAAGUAGAG
rnacentral:lncRNA from 10 species